GAUUUGGUCCCUUCUCUCCUGUGAGUGAGCUACCGGCUGCUGGGCCGGGGAGGCAAAAGGCUUGGCGGCCGUGGGCGUGGCCCCUGGGCAAGAACGAGGUGUGGUCACGAUCUCUGUAGCCUGUGGCUUAAACAGCCCUGUCCUAGGACCGGAGUGAUUCAGUCUCAGAAUUGUUCUUUAAUCUUUAAUAUCUCCAUUAAGAAGAGUUUCUGUCAAGUGCUUCAAAAGAACACAACGUGAAGGAGCAAUACCGAUCCACUGCUGAGACCUCAGAAGCUACCAGAUUAUCGUUAAAAAAUAAACAUGUUUGAAGACUACAGACUAUUACCCAGAGGGGAGGUCCUGAGUCAUCCAAAGUUUCUCCAGCUGGCAAAGAAGUAUGAAAAAACUCCUGCUCAGAUUUGCACCUGCUGGAGCAUCCGAGCAAGCCAGGGAAACAUCCAUGACACCUAAAGAAGAGAUGAAAUGCUUGUGUAUUUCAGGUUGGUAUUGAAAUGUUCCCAGGAUUCAUAAAAUAUUUAAGGACUACAUAAAAAAGAAAGACUUAGAAAUCAAAGGCA